CCUACGGGGGGCUGCAGUGAGGAAUAUUGGUCAAUGGGCGAGAGCCUGAACCAGCCAAGUCGCGUGAAGGAUGAAGGAUCUAUGGUUUGUAAACUUCUUUUAUAUGGGAAUAAAAUGUUCCACGUGUGGGAUUUUGUAUGUACCAUAUGAAUAAGGAUCGGCUAACUCCGUGCCAGCAGCCGCGGUAAUACGGAGGAUCCGAGCGUUAUCCGGAUUUAUUGGGUUUAAAGGGAGCGUAGGUGGAUUGUUAAGUCAGUUGUGAAAGUUUGCGGCUCAACCGUAAAAUUGCAGUUGAAACUGGCAGUCGUGAGUACAGUAGAGGUGGGCGGAAUUCGUGGUGUAGCGGUGAAAUGCUUAGAUAUCACGAAGAACUCCGAUUGCGAAGGCAGCUCACUGGACUGCAACUGACACUGAGGCUCGAAAGUGUGGGUAUCAAACAGGAGUAGAUACCCGGGUAGUC
rnacentral:rRNA from 1 species